rnacentral:rRNA from 1 species
AAAGCGUGCGCAGGCGGUUUUGUAAGUCUGUCGUGAAAUCCCCGGGCUCAACCUGGGAAUGGCGAUGGAGACUGCAAGGCUAGAGUUUGGCAGAGGGGGGUAGAAUUCCACGUGUAGCAGUGAAAUGCGUAGAUAUGUGGAGGAACACCGAUGGCGAAGGCAGCCCCCUGGGUCAAAACUGACGCUCAUGCACGAAAGCGUGGGGAGCAAACAGGAUUAGAUACCCCGGU